CCUACGGGCGGCAGCAGUGGGGAAUAUUGCGCAAUGGGCGAAAGCCUGACGCAGCGACGCCGCGUGAGGGAUGAAGGUCUUCGGAUCGUAAACCUCUGUCAGCAGGGAAGAACGGUCACUGUGCUAAUCAGCAGUGAAUUGACGGUACCUGCAAAGGAAGCACCGGCUAACUCCGUGCCAGCAGCCGCGGUAAUACGGAGGGUGCGAGCGUUAAUCGGAAUUACUGGGCGUAAAGCGCUCGUAGGCGGUAUGUCAAGUCAAGGGUGAAAUCCCCGCGCUCAACGUGGGAACGGCCUUUGAAACUGGCAAACUGGAGUGUGUGAGAGGAUAGUGGAAUUCCAGGUGUAGGAGUGAAAUGCGUAGAUAUCUGGAGGAACAUCAGUGGCGAAGGCGACUAUCUGGCACAUAACUGACGCUGAGGAGCGAAAGCGUGGGUAGCAAACAGGAUUAGAUACCCGAGUAGUC
rnacentral:rRNA from 1 species